rnacentral:rRNA from 1 species
UACGUAGGGUGCAAGCGUUGUCCGGAAUUAUUGGGCGUAAAGAGCUCGUAGGCGGCUUGUCGCGUCGGCUGUGAAAACCUGGGGCUCAACCCCGGGCCUGCAGCCGAUACGGGCAAGCUAGAGUUCGGUAGGGGAGACUGGAAUUCCUGGUGUAGCGGUGAAAUGCGCAGAUAUCAGGAGGAACACCGGUGGCGAAGGCGGGUCUCUGGGCCGAAACUGACGCUGAGGAGCGAAAGCGUGGGGAGCAAACGGG